ensembl:lncRNA FAM86DP family with sequence similarity 86 member D, pseudogene
AUGGCGCCCGAGGAGAAUGCGGGGACCGAACUCUUGCUGCAGAGUUUCGAGCGCCGCUUCCUGGCGGCGCGCACGCUGCGCUCCUUCCCCUGGCAGGGGGGCGGCGGGCGAGCGGAGAGGCCCGCGGGGCUCGCGGGAGUCCAGGGGCAGACGGGAUGGGUCUCCGUGCUGAAACCCCCGGCGCUCCUGCCACAGCUUAGAAGCAAAGUUAAGAGACUCAUCAGAUUCUGAGCUGCUGCGGGAUAUUUUGCAGAAGACUGUGAAGCAUCCUGUGUGUGUGUGAAGCACCCGCCGUCAGUCAAGAAAGCCCGGUGCUUUCUCUCAGAACUCAUCAAAAAGCCCUCGGGAGGCUCAGUCACACUCUCCGAGAGCACAGCCAUCAUCUCCCAUGGUACCACAGGCCUGGUCACAUGGGAUGCCACCCUCUACCUUGCAGAAUGGGCCAUCGAGAACCCAGCAGCCUUCACUAACAGACGUGCUGUAUUGCCCAGAAGCCAUCGUGUCGCUGGUCGGGAUCCUGCGGAGGCUGGCUGCCUGCUGGGAGCACCAGCAGUCUCCUGAGGUCUACGUGGCCUUUACCGUCCACAACCCAGAGACGUGCCAGCUGUUCACCACCGAGCUAGGCCGGGCUGGGAUCAUAUGGGAAGCGGAAGCUCAUCAUGACCAGAAACUGUUUCCCUAUGGAGAGCACUUGGAGAUGGCAAUGCUGAACCUCACACUGUAGGACUCACACACGACUCCAACGGGAUUGUGAGAAUCAAGUCAAUCUCAUGGGAAGAAUUUUUAUAUGGGAAAGCGGAUAAAACUUUCAUUGUACUGGAAUGUUUGGAGAAUGUUAAAUUCCAAAUCAGAAACCACAAACUGCCCUCUAAUAAGACAUCGGCUAUCUAAGCGUGUGGGUGCCCCCUUUCUGCCAGCAGUUCUGGUUCUUACGAAAAUCACCAUAUAUCAGACAUGAAAAUUCUGGCUUUGUGCAGAUAAAAAAGUGUGUAUCAAGUA